GGCAUCAACUAGGUCUGAUGUGAGCUUGUGAUUGCAUCUCAUGGAUGGAGGUUUGAUCCGUGAGGAAGCAACAAUAUAUACGGAACCUGGUAAUGGAGCGGUUUUUCUGACACAAGUCCCUGAAAGGAAGGAAGCAAUCAAUCAUAAAAGAUCAAAGUGACAGAGAAGAUGACCGAUGGGAAGAUCCCUCCAGGCUCAUUGGCAGGAACAAACCGGGAGACAUAAGUAAAUCUACAAACACCAAAACGAGGUGCAUCACUUUUCGUUUAGAGAUUAUAGCAAAGCUUCUGCAAGAUUAUGUAUCAGUCUCACAGAGAAUUUGAUGUUUGAAAGGUUUAAGAGAGACUCUAGAAGACUCUCUACCUCAAUUCCAAACUAUUUUUUAAUGUGCAAUGAUCUAACACCUCCAGUUUUGAUCAGCCA